GCCGGGGUGGCGGAACUGGCAGACGCACAGGACUUAAAAUCCUGCGGAUAAUGAUAUCCGUACCGGUUCGAUUCCGGUCCUCGGCA
rnacentral:tRNA from 1 species